UCUCGCACCUGCCUGGGUGUGAGGCCGGGGGAGGGGCGGGGGUCUUUGAGGACAGGCUGGCAGGACUCCCCACUAGUGUUCAGCAAGGUCCAGAGUCUGAGCCUCAUCUUCUGGAUCCCAAAUCCUGAUAUCUGCCGGCCACCGGGCACCCUGGCUCUCCAGUCUUCCUUCAGGGGGAAUUUGCCAGAACACCACCUCCCACCUACUCAGCCUUCUCCCUGCAUCCCACGGCCCGUGUCUCAGAAUAGUCUAAGAAGUAGAUGAUAUAUAUAACUCCUCAAGGAGAAUUCAGCCAUCUUUCUGGGCACGAGCUCUGGAAAUUUUCAACAUUGUCAGUGAAAAAUUUUUUAUUUUGAUUUAUUUUUUGACGUUUAUUUAUUUUGAGAGAGAGCGCGGGCAGGUGCAGAUGUGUGGCCAGGGGAGAGGCAGAGAGAGAGGGAGACAGAGAAUCCCAAGCAGCCCCCACGCCGUCAGCACAGAGGACGCGGGGAUCGAACUCACGAACCGCAAGAUCGUGACCUGAGCUGAGAUGAAGAGUUGAGACGCUCAAGCCACUGAGCCACCCAGGCGCCCCUCGAAGAAUUUUUAAAUUCAUUCUUUCAGCAGAGAUUUUCUGAGCAUCCAAUACGUGCCAGGGGUGACGGCGGGAGCCACGUUCGCGGAAAGGGUGGCCCCAUUCGGACACAGGUUCUCUGGCGCCCCAGCCAGCUUCGUUGUUGACCCACUGGUUUCCGGAGGCCUGUGGGUUUCCAGAUCGUCCUUUUUACAACCCCCCCCCCACGGGUCCUUGGCCGCUAGAAAGUCACCCAGCAGGAUCCCAGCCACAGCUGCUCAAUUGUUCUUGUGUGGAGAGGGCGUCUGACGCACUGUGGAAGUGGGGCCGCAGGAAGGCCGUCGCCCUUCUGGUCUUUCCCCUUUAAAAAAAAAAAAAAAAAAAAAAAAAAAAAAAAACAACCAUAAAAUAAUCCCUCUGCCGAAGGGGCACAGAUUCGUUCUGUGACUCAGCCACAGCGCAUUUCAUCCCCAACUGGUGGCCAGUCUUACCCUUCUACGGAGAGAACAGGGAGACACCAGCUGCGGAGGCCACAUUGUAUGUAAACAGAGGUCAGUGUUCCGCAGAGAGAGGCCCCCUCCCUGCCCCCAGGGCUGGGGCGGGGCGGGCAGGGGCCACUGGUGUUUUGCAUUCUGACACCUGUCAGGAAGUUGAUUCUCACUUAGAGAAGCAGCCUGAGGGGCGCCUGGGGGGCUCAAUGGGUGGAGCCUGCAACUCUGGAUCCCAGGGUCGUGAGGUCGAGCCCCACGUUGGUUACUUAAAAAUAAAAUCUGUAAGAACCGAAA